rnacentral:tRNA from 1 species
GGACCUGUGGCCCAGACUGGAUUAAUGUUUGUGAUUAAGACUCCUAAGGCAUGGAUCGGGGGUUCAAAUCCCCUCAGGUCCG